rnacentral:rRNA from 1 species
UACGUAGGGUGCGAGCGUUAAUCGGAAUUACUGGGCGUAAAGCGUGCGCAGGCGGUUGUGUAAGCCAGAUGUGAAAUCCCCGGGCUCAACCUGGGAAUGGCAUUUGGGACUGCACGGCUGGAGUAUGGCAGAGGGGACUGGAAUUCCUGGUGUAGCAGUGAAAUGCGUAGAUAUCAGGAGGAAUACCGAUGGCGAAGGCAGGUCCCUGGGCCAAUACUGACGCUCAUGCACGAAAGCGUGGGGAGCAAACAGG